CACAGCCAAGAUCAGAGUGUGCCACUGGCUGUCCACGAGGCCGGGGCUCCGGAAGGACACACGGGUCUGCCAGGCACCAGCCAAGUCCUCGCUGAGAAAUAGGAAGUGCAGCUGUGUGGUCAACAAAGUGAAAGGCCUGGCAGGCCUUUGAUCUCAGAAGCGAGAGCGCUCUUUCCACUGGGGGCUAUUUAUAUUAAGACAUCUCACCAAGCUGUUCUUAGCCCAACACAGGCCUUCUGAAGAGCCGAAAGGCCUGAAUAAAGCUGCUGUCACUGUUGUUUGUGUUUGGUGUUUUAUGUGACGACAAAGUCUCACGUAGCUAUCCUGGAAUUCAUUGUUUGGCUGAGAAUGAUUUGUAACUCCUGAUCUUCCUGCCUACACUUCCUAAAUACUAGGAUUACAGGUCCCACCUCUUAUAGACAUCACCAUCUCCCAACAGCACCACAGGAUGGGGGCCGAGCCUUCAGCACCUGGGUUCUGGAGCACACUGAAGAACUACAGCACCCACCCCCACCCCCCGUCUCUGUUUCUGUGAUGAUGGAUUCCAUCGCCUGGCUUUGCUGAGGGUCUAUAUGACAAAGAUUUCCACUUGUAAUAUGAAAAAGGGCCCCUAAAAAUGAUGAGCUUGACUUUAAAAAUGGGCAAGAGAACUGGAUAGACCCCUCACCUAAGACAUUUAUCUACCUGUUUGUCCCUGGGGAUGGCGUGAGCGGAACAUGUGCCUCAGAGUGGCUUGAGAUGUGCCACCACCCUCUCCCGACUUUCAGAAGAGGUCCUGGCAGUCGGGGUGGAUUCUUCUUGGUCCGUUCCCUCCUCGUGCCUCCACUCUGCUCAGAUAACUGACCUGAGGCCUUUCUUGGCACAAGUGUCCACAGUUGUGAGUCUCUCCCAUUGCAGAGCAUAUGCUGCCCCCCCCCCACUGUAAUGGUGGAGGGUCAGUGUCAACCUGACGGGAUUUGGAAUCACGCUUCUGGGAGUGUCAGUGAGGGUGUUUCCAGGGAGGAUUAACAAAGGAGGGAAGAGCCACCUGGAAUGUAGGUGGCACCAUCCCUUGGGCUACAGUCUUGGAAUGAAUAAAAAAAGAGAAAGUCUGCUGA